rnacentral:rRNA from 1 species
AUGGCCCACAACCCCGCCCGCGUUCAUCACAAAUUCAUAUAUCAUUGGGCCGCUCGACUCUGUGCUUCAAGCCUAUAUAUGUGUUAUGCAACACGACACGAUGUGAGGGAAGCACCGUCUAGGCUCGGCAAGCAGAUAGUGGGGAGAAGGCUCGAGUUGUCGACUCCACCCUCAACUAUUAUUCAGAAUGCCAAUGUAAUGUGCACGUCCAACGUCGGCCAGUCGUCCACAACACCCGUAAUGGGCCAUAAACGCUCAUGGGCAGACCUCGCGCCUGAUGCCCCAUCAUUCGAGCUGGACACAGACGGCAACGAUGAGGCAAGCACACCUAUCAAGAAGGAUGGAAAGGCCGAGCCGAUUUCACCUACUUCGGCAACAAAGAUAUACUCCGACAAUCUCGUUGGACAACUAAUGAUGCUCAAUGACGAGAUAGGAGACACUGAGGGAUACACCGUAUUUGGUCAAGUGAAUGACACGGAUAUAACAAAGAAGAAUGUGACUCAUACUGGGUUCCCCAAAGACCCAUGGUCCACGAACCAAUUGGUGCGUACACACGGCCCAACUAUACGGAAAGCUAUCAGAGAUUGGAUGCGGUCAAGGACGCCCUCCGACCUAUCAAGGGAAUGGGUCUCGCAUCCUGACCCGCGGAUAAUCUCAAUCAGUGGCAAAGCAAUUAAGUCACAAAUAUGCGAUGGUUAUGAAAUUGACCACGAGGUCGGGUCAUUGGUCAUACGUCGGAUGGGACAAAUGGAGGCGCACGCUCACCGUGCAACGCUGAAUGAACAAUACCGGUUGCUCCGUGAGCCCGACUUCUCGUGUCACGCAAUUGCAGGGGAAGACACUACAAGAAUCAUGUCAAUACAAAUACAAUUCACUGGAAUCGGAGUCAAGUGCAACAUUGCAAACUGCCGGAUGGUCACGGUCCCUGCAGAUAUGCAACAUGGUUGGUGCUGCUUCAACUGGGACAUGGUCGACAAGGUGAUAACCAUCAUGGACCCAAUGGCAUACCAGACCGAGGAUGCAUACCGGAAAACAUCCCUUAUAUACGCUGCCGACAAACUUCAUGACGCGCUGUUCGAUUGCAUCGAAGAUUUCUUCACCGAGUGGCACUGCAGCUGGAUGUUCUGGAGGAAGAAGACCCCCUGCUGUCAACCACAACAUUCACCAGGGCUGAGAGUGCCAUCUGUGUCAUCCACCUACUCAGACAUUUUAAAGGGACCUCACUGGCAAAACCACUUACUAAGGCAACUAUUACCGCUGAAAGGGACUCACUCCUCGUCGAGAUGA